rnacentral:rRNA from 1 species
UACGGAGGGGACAAGCGUUGUUCGGAUUUACUGGGCGUAAAGGGCGCGUAGGCGGGCCGUCAAGUCGGAUGUGAAACCUCUGAGCUUAACUCAGAGCCUGCAUUCGAUACUGUCGGUCUUGAGUACCGGAGAGGAUGAUGGAAUUCCAGGUGUAGCGGUGAAAUGCGUAGAUAUCUGGAAGAACACCAGUAGCGAAGGCGGUCAUCUGGACGGAUACUGACGCUAAAGCGCGAAGGCUUGGGGAGCAAAC